UUCACGCUUCAAACAAGUCGCUCUGUUUCUGCUGCUACUUUUUCAUUUAUAAUCAGUUAAUUUGCCAAUAAACGCAGAAAAUUUGGUGAAAAUGUGAAAAAAAAGCUUGCUGCUCUUCCCGCUGGCCCUGCGGAAGGCUAAUUUGGCUGAGAUUUUACAAGUUAGCCAUCUCCUAGUGGACUGAAUCAACUGGAACCGGCCCUCAAUGUUCUCCGCCGUGAAAUCAUUUUGUUUCUUCGAAACAGGUUCAUCAAUCAACUCGGGAGUGCGAGAGCUCGAGCCUCGUUGCCGAGCCAUGGAUGGCGCCGCGAAAGUUCUCAAUUCUUGAAUGUUCUGCCCUGAAGGAUGCCCAACACAGGAAAAGAAAAUAAUUUGGAAAUAAAUAAUGCUGUGUGGAAA